UUUUGACUCUCGUGGCGCCCCAGGGGCCGACGGGAGUGGCGGCCGCGCGGAGGAGGCCAAGAUGGCGGCAGCUGCGGCUUCGCUUCGCGGGGUAGUGUUGGGCCCGCGGGGCGCGGGGCUCCCGGGCGCGCGUGCCCGGGGUCUGCUGUGCAGCGCGCGGCCCGGGCAGCUCCCGCUACGGACACCUCAGGUGAGCGCUGGGCCGGGCCCCGGCCUCCGCGUGGCCCCGCAUCUCCGUGAAGGUCACGGCGGGGAGGCUGCGGGCGCGGGCCGGGGCAGCGCGGAAGCGGUACCGGCCACCCAGCGCCCCCGGUCCCAGCUGCCUGCCGACCUUGAGCGUGUGGGAUCACGGCUGGGCGCCCACCUCUCCGAACGGCAGGGCGCCCGUCCCCAGCGUGGGGGUCGGCGGGACGGGCUAGCUGCCGUGGCGGGGCUGGGGCUUUCCCGAAUGGCGCGCCCAGGACGGCUCUUGCGGCUGGCUGUCCAAACUGGGCCCGCGUCCUGAAGUGACCCCAGCCUGACCUCGGCCAGCUGCUUGUGACCUUGGCCUGUCCCAGCACCCUUGGUCACUUCGGUCUGAUCCCCGGCUCAGGAUCCAGGAACACCCUCUCCUGAGAGCGAAUCACGGUCUAGGGGUCAGCGGCGGAGAGGGAUGGGGUGGGUAAUGGGACAGGGUGUGCGUCUGGUGCCCUGCAGGAGGAGGCCAUUGCUGGGUGGAGAGGUGGGCGCAGAGAGUCAGAUCCCCAGGUAGGGCUGGGUGGUGUCCUGGCAGGCGCUGAGCGGAGAUCUUGCAGGCAGUGGCCUUGUCGUCGAAGUCUGGCCUUUCCCGAGGCCGGAAGGUGAUGCUGUCAGCGCUGGGCAUGCUGGCGGCAGGGGGUGCGGGGCUGGCCGUGGCUCUGCAUUCGGCUGUGAGUGCCAAUGACCUGGAGCUGCACCCCCCCAGCUAUCCGUGGUCUCACCGUGGCCUCCUCUCUUCCUUGGACCACACCAGCAUCCGGAGGGGUUUCCAGGUAUAUAAGCAGGUGUGCGCCUCCUGCCACAGCAUGGACUUCGUGGCUUACCGCCACCUGGUGGGCGUGUGCUACACGGAGGAUGAAGCUAAGGAGCUGGCUGCGGAGGUGGAGGUUCAAGACGGCCCCAAUGAAAAUGGGGAGAUGUUCAUGCGGCCAGGGAAGCUGUUCGACUAUUUCCCAAAACCAUACCCCAACAGUGAGGCUGCUCGAGCUGCCAACAACGGAGCAUUGCCCCCUGACCUCAGCUACAUCGUGCGAGCUAGGCAUGGUGGUGAGGACUACAUCUUCUCCCUGCUCACGGGCUACUGCGAGCCACCCACCGGGGUGUCACUGCGGGAAGGUCUCUACUUCAACCCCUACUUUCCUGGCCAGGCCAUUGCCAUGGCCCCUCCCAUCUACACAGAUGUCUUAGAGUUUGACGACGGCACCCCAGCUACCAUGUCCCAGAUAGCCAAGGAUGUGUGCACCUUCCUGCGCUGGGCAUCUGAGCCAGAGCACGACCAUCGAAAACGCAUGGGACUCAAGAUGUUGAUGAUGAUGGCUCUGCUGGUGCCCCUGGUCUACACCAUAAAGCGGCACAAGUGGUCAGUCCUGAAGAGUCGGAAGCUGGCAUAUCGGCCACCCAAGUGACCCUGUCCAGUGUCUGCUUGCCAUCCUGCCAGAACAGGCCCUCAAGCCCAAGAGCCAUCCCAGGCCUGUUCAGGCGUCAGCUGGCUAAGCCCCUCUUCAUCUGGAAAAAGAGGCAAGUGGGCAGGAGACCAGACUCUAGCUCUGGGCCCUCCUUCAGCCCCCAUCAUGGGAAUAAAUUAAGUUUCUCAAUGUA
rnacentral:sRNA from 1 species